GACGAACGCUGGCGGCGUGCUUAACACAUGCAAGUCGAGCGAGGCCCCACCCUUCGGGGUGGGUGUCCUAGCGGCGAACGGGUGAGUAACACGUGGGCAACCUGCCCUCGGCACUGGGAUAACCCCGGGAAACCGGAGCUAAUACCGGAUACGACCUCGGAAGGCAUCUUCUGAGGUGGAAAGCGUUAGUGGCUGAGGAUGGGCCCGCGGCCUAUCAGCUUGUUGGUGGGGUAACGGCCUACCAAGGCGACGACGGGUAGCCGGCCUGAGAGGGGGAGCGGCCACACUGGGACUGGGACACGGCCCAGAAUCCUACGGGAGGCAGCAGUGGGGAAUAUUGCGCAAUGGGCGAAAGCCUGACGCAGCGACGCCGCGUGAGGGACGACGGCCUUCGGGUUGUAAAGCCCUUUCGGCGGGGAAGGUAAUGACGGUACCCGCAGAAGAAGCCCCGGCUAACUUCGUGCCAGCCGCCGCGGUAAAAC
rnacentral:rRNA from 1 species